rnacentral:rRNA from 1 species
UACGGAGGGUGCAAGCGUUGUCCGGAUUUAUUGGGUUUAAAGGGUGCGUAGGCGGCCUAUUAAGUCAGUGUUUAAAGUCUGCAGCUUAACUGUAGGAAUGGCAUUGAUACUGAUAGGCUUGAGUAAAGUUGAGGUAGGCGGAAUUGAUGGUGUAGCGGUGAAAUGCAUAGAUAUCAUCAAGAACAUCGAUUGCGAAGGCA